UGAGAAUGAUCAGGCUGUGACAUCUGUCACCCCAUUGACUGCCACGGUUGAUUCAGCUGAUCUGGCUAGGUAGUGGGUGUCCCCCUCCUCCCUCA
rnacentral:snRNA from 1 species